GACGUAGGGGGCGAGCGUUGUCCGGAUUCAUUGGGCGUAAAGGGUGCGUAGGUGGCGCUGUAAGUCGGGUGUGAAAUUUCGGAGCUUAACUCCGAAACUGCAUUCGAUACUGCGGUGCUUGAGGACUGGAGAGGAGACUGGAAUUCAUGGUGUAGCAGUGAAAUGCGUAGAGAUCAUGAGGAAGACCAGUGGCGAAGGCGGGUCUCUGGACAGUUCCUGACACUGAGGCACGAAGGCCAGGGGAGCAAACGGG
rnacentral:rRNA from 1 species